rnacentral:misc_RNA from 1 species
GGGAAAGGGCGCAGGGAGCUUGCGCAAGCUUCGGUCUGAUGCAUCGAACACUAAGCCAGCCACGUUCCAAGCUUUUGGGACAGCAGUCGACGGCGACCUAGCUUUCCAAUCGCUACGGCAUCGUUUCGUUCGUUCGUUCGUUUGUUCGUUCGUUCGUUGGUUAGUUGGUUGGUUGGAUGGUUGGUUGUUCACGAGAUACGCGGGGCUCUUUCGGUGCUUCGGUCGAUAGUUUUCUCGCACGAUGGGCAACGUAAUGUAGAGACGAUAAAGCUCAACGUAGGAAGCUUAGCGAGAAAUAUGAAGAGACGACUGGAAAAGCUUCAAAAAAGAAAAGAAAGAGUGAGAGAGAGAGAGAGAGAGAGAGAGAGGAAUUUUGCGGAAAGUUAGGAGUAUCUCCCGAUUUGUCUCGUGGCGAGACGCUAGCAACGUUGAAACUCGUGAAUAAAAGAUCCCGCGGAAUAGCUUCUAUCUCAUCUACAGAAACAGACGGACGGACGGACGGACGGACGGACAGACAGAUGUAUACCUUGAUUAGUUUCUAUUUAAACAAGAUUUUAUACGUUUUGACGUUCAACCCUGAUCAUUUUAUUCGAAGAUAAAAGUUUCUCUUUUGUUUGAAUAGAAUUUCGAGAUAAAUUCAACAAUAAAUAAAAAACCUAGCGAAGUUAAUAAUAAACACGAAUGUUGGCCUCUAAUAUUUUAUUAAAUAGAUACAAUAAAAAAAGUAUAUACUUUAUGUUUACGAAUGUCCUAAGAGAUGUAAGUGAUGUAAGAGAUGUAAGUAUAGUGAAUAAGAAGAAAGUGAACGAGUCUUUAACGUGAUUGGAGGAGGGGAUAACUGUAGAAUUUAUGGAGAAUUAUCAGCACGUUCUGUCGAGUAAACGACCGAGAUGGGGGUCCGAGUCCGAACGAGACACUUCCGGUGUUUUGCGUGCUCGUUGAUAAUACGAUGGUGGUGCAUCAACUGGUUAAACUUUCCUAGGACAGUUAAUGGUAAUGUCUUUGAUCUUCUUUGAUUAAAAUGAAAGAAAUAAAAAGAAAAAAAUUAAAAGGAAAAGAGAAAGAAAUGAAAAGAAAGAGGUAGAAAUAGGUAGACGUAUAUACACGCACACAAAUACAUACACACACACAUCAUUCAUACAGAGGUAUAUAGAAACGUAAAAAGAGAAAGAAAAUCGAAUCGGUAUUGGAAUCUUUGUAUGGAAACGAGGGACUCUCGAGGCUUCCACGUAAUCCAUCCACUCGUGCAGAACCCCGACGACUCUGGCCUCCUUUUAUUUUCAGCGUUCCUCCUAACUAGACGGCACGAGUUUCCGUUCGCGACUCUCUUCCGUCCGCAAUCAGCACUUCCACGAAGUAGGACGCACGAAUAUCGUUCCCUACCGAAAAUUCGACUUCGUGUCCCAUUAAUCUUCAGGGAAUAUGAAAGACGGCCGAUUACGAGUUCCUCCUAGUUUUCCUUAGAAUUAUGCUCCGAGGCAUAAUUACAAUAACCCCGUUUUUUUUCUCUCUUUCAUUUUUCCUUAUAACAGAAACGCGAAUAAAACCAGAAUAUAAUAUAUUUGUUAGUCGUUAAAAACAAUGCGUCGAGUUGUGUGUAACUUAUGUUUGUUGUUAGAAAUUUUCCUGUUUUUUUUUUACUUUUCCGCGUUUGUUAAAAAAAUUGAAAUAAAAUAUCUCGCAACCCAAUAAUUUCUUUGAUCUUAAGAAUCGUUGUGUAGUAUUCUAUUUCUUUUGUCAUUCGAUACAAAAUUACACAACUGACUAUGAAUGAUUAUUAUCUCAUAAAAGAUAAUAUAACAACGAGCUGGAAAGUUACUUUCUUCUUUGAUGUUUCUUGUGCAGUUAUCGUGAUAUCAGCUUGUAAUAAAUUACAUGACACUGUAUAUAAAAGAGAUGAAAGGGAUCGUAAAAGCGUGUUUGUCGUAGAUCGCAAAGAAACUUGCAUAUACAUGCAUAUACAAA